CGAUAUGUAAAUGAGGUGGGCAGCCUUCUACGUGCAGCUCUCUAUUGGUCAAUAAACAGGAAAGAGAACGAUCCGUGUGCAGAAUGUGAAUGCCUGCCUACGUGGGGCUUUCGGCCUCAGUUCAACAGUCCUCAGGAAACCUGACUGAAAAAUUCACGAAUACUCAUUAUCUUAAGGACACAAUAAAAGUAGCCGACCUGACAACCUACCAUAUCUGGGAUGGUCUUGUUCCUCUGUCCAUGGCAGGUUCAGUCAAUCAGCUAUGGGACAUCUGCUGCCUAGUCAAACUAUCAUGGGCCUCUUGAUUUAAAAGGAGAAACCAGUACAGAGCCUCCCUGCUCCUGCAAGUCACACUUCUUGGAUGAACACUCAUUACUGCUAGUAGCUGUUAGAAAUGAAAUCUUUGUGUACCUAUUCUGUAGUUAAUAUAUGUAUCUAUUAAUAAAUGAAUUGAUGUUGUGUAGAGUUCUGUAAAAAACUAUUGUUAAUAGCUUCUCUCGAGUAAUCUACAUAUGUGCAACAUUUACAUUUAAAUUACUUCUUUUUGUAAAUUUUACACAUCUGGCAACAAAGUAUGUGGAGGAGAGGAAAUGCUAAAAUUAAAGCUGCUAUUGUGGAGCAAAGACAUAAGGUUUGUGGCUGUUUCUUUAAAACAUCUAUUUAAUAAUUAUAUUAAACACUACAUGGUUACUACAUUACAGAAACAUAAUUACCACAGUUAAUAAUUUAAGUCAUUGAUAGAGAAAAUGUAGUUACAAAAGACAUAAAUUUUAUUUCAACAUUAUGUACUCAGGGUUUACAAUUUAAGAAGACAUCCAUGUACGGUACUUGGUGGGUGCCAGUCUGCAGUGAACUGGUGGAUGACAGAGGCAGUGGUACACUGUAAUGAGCAGUUUGAAGCAGAAGUCCCACCAUGUGACCCACAGGGUUUUCCCACCUCAGCACAACUUCAUGCACUUUGUUUUCACAGGCACCACAGCAGAAUCAAGUGUAACCUGUUAAAAGGGAUAUAAAGUUAUUUUCCUAUGUUAUCAAUUUUCUACUGCAAAGUUUACAACCACAGGAAAACAAAGUAUAAGAAACUUAACCUUCUAAUCAUAACAUUUGAUAAAUAUUCAUUGGAGAAAUGUGAAGUUAAUGAGCAAAGAGAGAGAGAGAGAGAAUCACAUUUCUCCAAUGAAAUGUUAAUAUCUAUCUAAAACAGCGCCUUCCUCCUCAUGUCUUGAUCGUAGUAAGAGUUUAACUUCUCAGGACGUGAUGGAGCAGCGGGUGUUUGGCAUAACUGUCAAGUUUUGGACAUGUGGCUACAGGACAUGUCGCUACUGAGCGGGUGGUGAAACUAGC